UACGAAGGGGGCUAGCGUUGUCCGGAAUUACUGGGCGUAAAGCGCACGUAGGCGGAUUGUUAAGUUAGGGGUGAAAUCCCAGGGCUCAACCCUGGAACUGCCUUUAAUACUGGCAAUCUCGAGUCCGAGAGAGGUGAGUGGAAUUCCGAGUGUAGAGGUGAAAUUCGUAGAUAUCGGGAGGAACACCAGUGGCGAAGGCGGCGACCUGGGCCAAUAUUGACGCUGAGGUGGCGAAAGCGUGGGGAGCAAACAGG
rnacentral:rRNA from 1 species